rnacentral:tRNA from 1 species
GGCGCUAUAGUGUAGUGGUUAUCACUUGGGAUUCUGAUAUUCAAUUUCCCAAAACCCAGGUUCGAGCCCUGGUAGCGCCU